UAAACUUGGGGGCAUGUGCACACCUUUCUCUUUCAUCCCAUACACACCUGUGCACCUGUGAGACAGAUGUUUUGUGGGGGGGAAGGAACUUUAUUGGACCUUCUACUCCCCCUUGACUUCUGUCUACUUAAUUCAUAUAAACUCAAUUUAUUUUAAAACGGAUGUAAUGGAUGUAACACAUCUAAUACUAAGUUUCAACAACGGAUCUCUUGGCUCUCGCAUCGAUGAAGAACGCAGCGAAAUGCGAUAAGUAAUGUGAAUUGCAGAAUUCAGUGAAUCAUCGAAUCUUUGAACGCACCUUGCGCUCCUUGGUAUUCCUUGGAGCAUGCCUGUUUGAGUAUCAUGAAAUCUUCAAAGUCAAACCUUUUGUUAAUUCAAUUGGUUCUGCUUUGGUAUUGGAGGAUUAUUGCAGCUUCACACCUGCUCCUCUUUGUGCAUUAGCUGGAUCUCAGUGUUAUGCUUGGUUCCACUCAGCGUGAUAAGUUAUCUAUCGCUGAGGACACCCUGUUAAAAAGGGGUGGCCAAGGUAAAUGCAGAUGAACCGCUUCUAAUAGUCCAUUGACUUGGACAAUAUCUAAUUUAUGAUCUGAUCUCAAAUCAGGUAGGACUACCCGCUGAACUUAAGCAUAUC
rnacentral:rRNA from 1 species